rnacentral:rRNA from 1 species
AAUAGAUACCCAGGUAGUCCACGCCGUAAACGAUGAGUGCUAAGUGUUAGAGGGUUUCCGCCCUUUAGUGCUGCAGCUAACGCAUUAAGCACUCCGCCUGGGGAGUACGGCCGCAAGGCUGAAACUCAAAGGAAUUGACGGGGGCCCGCACAAGCGGUGGAGCAUGUGGUUUAAUUCGAAGCAACGCGAAGAACCUUACCAGGUCUUGACAUCCUCUGACACUCCUAGAGAUAGGAAUUUCCCCUUCGGGGGACAGAGUGACAGGUGGUGCAUGGUUGUCGUCAGCUCGUGUCGUGAGAUGUUGGGUUAAGUCCCGCAACGAGCGCAACCCUUGAUCUUAGUUGCCAGCAUUCAGUUGGGCACUCUAAGGUGACUGCCGGUGACAAACCGGAGGAAGGUGGGGAUGACGUCAAAUCAUCAUGCCCCUUAUGACCUGGGCUACACACGUGCUACAAUGGAUGGUACAAAGGGCAGCGAAGCCGCGAGGUGAAGCCAAUCCCAAUAAAACCAUUCUCAGUUCGGAUUGC